UACGUAGAGACCGAGCGUUGUCCGGAUUCAUUGGGCGUAAAGAGCUCGUAGGCGGCUGUUCAAGUCGAACGUGAAAACUCGGAGCUCAACUCCGAGCCUGCGUUCGAUACUGGACGGCUAGAGUCUGGUAGGGGGAUCUGGAAUUCCUGGUGUAGCGGUGGAAUGCGUAGAGAUCGGCAGGAACACCCAGGGGGAAACCAGCCGACUGGGCAAGUGCUGACGCUGAGGUGCGAGAGCGUGGGGAGCGAACAGG
rnacentral:rRNA from 1 species